UUCGGGCUGAAAGGUGAAAUAAUUGCCAGAAUAAUUCCAGGACGCUGAUCCUUUGUAAAAAUGCGCAACGAACACGACGCCGUCGAUCAAAUUGAUCUGGCAUCAAAUCCCAACGAUUUGGAUUCCUGGGACCAAAAUACGAAGAAAUAUCAUGGAAAACUUCUUCAAAAAAAUUCGGAAUCAUCAUCUCACAUUUUGAGAAAACACCAAGGCUAUAGGCUUACCGUUUUUUCGGGCUGAAAGGUGAAAUAAUUGCCAGAAUAAUUCCAGGACGCUGAUUCUACGCAAAAAUGCGCAACGAACACAACGCCGUCGAUCAAA
rnacentral:misc_RNA from 1 species